AUUGAACGCUGGCGGCAGGCUUAACACAUGCAAGUCGAGCGGAGUGAUGGUGCUUGCACUAUCACUUAGCGGCGGACGGGUGAGUAAUGCUUAGGAAUCUGCCUAUUAGUGGGGGACAACAUCUCGAAAGGGAUGCUAAUACCGCAUACGUCCUACGGGAAGAAGCAGGGGAUCACUUGUGACCUUGCGCUAAUAGAUGAGCCUAAGUCGGAUUAGCUAGUUGGUGGGGUAAAGGCCUACCAAGGCGACGAUCUGUAGCGGGUCUGAGAGGAUGAUCCGCCAAACUGGGACUGAGACCCGGCCCAGGCUCCUACGGGAGGCAGCAGUGGGGAAUAUUGGACGAUGUGCGGAAGCCUGAUCCAGCCAUGCCGCGUGUGUGAAGAAGGCCUUUUGGUUGUAAAGCACUUUAAGCGAGGAGGAGGCUACUUAGAUUAAUACCCAGAAUGAGUGGACGUUACUCGCAGAAUAAGCACCGGCUAACUCUGUGCCAGCCGCCGCUGUAACAC
rnacentral:rRNA from 1 species